GAACGCUAGCUACAGGCUUAACACAUGCAAGUCGAGGGGCAGCAUGGUCUUAGCUUGCUAAGGCCGAUGGCGACCGGCGCACGGGUGAGUAACACGUAUCCAACCUGCCGUCUACUCUUGGACAGCCUUCUGAAAGGAAGAUUAAUACAAGAUGGCAUCAUGAGUCCACAUGUUCACAUGAUUAAAGGUAUUCCGGUAGACGAUGGGGAUGCGUUCCAUUAGAUAGUAGGCGGGGUAACGGCCCACCUAGUCUUCGAUGGAUAGGGGUUCUGAGAGGAAGGUCCCCCACAUUGGAACUGAGACACGGUCCAAACUCCUACGGGAGGCAGCAGUGAGGAAUAUUGGUCAAUGGGCGAGAGCCUGAACCAGCCAAGUAGCGUGAAGGAUGACUGCCCUAUGGGUUGUAAACUUCUUUUAUAAAGGAAUAAAGUCGGGUAUGCAUACCCGUUUGCAUGUACUUUAUGAAUAAGGAUCGGCUAACUCCGUGCCAGCAGCCGCGGUAAUACGGAGGAUCCGAGCGUUAUCCGGAUUUAUUGGGUUUAAAGGGAGCGUAGAUGGAUGUUUAAGUCAGUUGUGAAAGUUUGCGGCUCAACCGUAAAAUUGCAGUUGAUACUGGAUAUCUUGAGUGCAGUUGAGGCAGGCGGAAUUCGUGGUGUAGCGGUGAAAUGCUUAGAUAUCACGAAGAACUCCGAUUGCGAAGGCAGCCUGCUAAGCUGCAACUGACAUUGAGGCUCGAAAGUGUGGGUAUCAAACAGGAUUAGAUACCCUGGUAGUCCACACGGUAAACGAUGAAUACUCGCUGUUUGCGAUAUGCUGCAAGCGGCCAAGCGAAAGCGUUAAGUAUUCCACCUGGGGAGUACGCCGGCAACGGUGAAACUCAAAGGAAUUGACGGGGGCCCGCACAAGCGGAGGAACAUGUGGUUUAAUUCGAUGAUACGCGAGGAACCUUACCCGGGCUUAAAUUGCAGAUGAAUUACGGUGAAAGCCGUAAGCCGCAAGGCAUCUGUGAAGGUGCUGCAUGGUUGUCGUCAGCUCGUGCCGUGAGGUGUCGGCUUAAGUGCCAUAACGAGCGCAACCCUUGUUGUCAGUUACUAACAGGUUCUGCUGAGGACUCUGACAAGACUGCCAUCGUAAGAUGUGAGGAAGGUGGGGAUGACGUCAAAUCAGCACGGCCCUUACGUCCGGGGCUACACACGUGUUACAAUGGGGGGUACAGAGGGCCGCUACCACGCGAGUGGAUGCCAAUCCCAAAAACCUCUCUCAGUUCGGACUGGAGUCUGCAACCCGACUCCACGAAGCUGGAUUCGCUAGUAAUCGCGCAUCAGCCACGGCGCGGUGAAUACGUUCCCGGGCCUUGUACACACCGCCCGUCAAGCCAUGGGAGCCGGGGGUACCUGAAGUGCGUAACCGCGAGGAGCGCCCUAGGGUAAAACUGGUGACUG
rnacentral:rRNA from 1 species